CCGCCCCCGCUCCCCUCCCUUAGGAAGGCUGCCAGUUCUGCCAAGAAGAGUCUAAGAGAGGUUUCCUUGGCACUGAGGCUGAGACCGGGGCUCAAACUUGCACACUCAGAAUCUCAAUUAAGCCCAGAGUCCUUUAUUUCUACUUCCCUGAAAGUAGCAUUUGUCCUGCUGACAUCUGGGGCUAGGGCAGCAGGCUGGGCCUCUAAGCCAGACGUACCUCCCGGCAUCUACACCGUACUUAGCAACAGGGCAUCUUUGCUGCUUCAAACCCCAAGCACACGAGCCCAGUUCCACUCAGCAAUGCUUGUUCACGCUGUUCCCUCAAGUAAAAUGUCCAGCUCGACAAAGUCCCACCCUUGCCGUCAGACCCAUUGGAGUCACACUCCUUCUUGGGCCUCGGGGCUCGUCACCCAGAGGACAACAAUUCAGAGCUGGGCCCAGGGCCCUUGGCACUCCAGCAGAGGGUUGCAGCCUGACCCAACACUGGUCCAGAGAGAUUCACCCGGUGGUGGGAGAGGCCAAAGAGACGAACUGACGAUAAAGCAGGC